AUGAAUCAUGCCGUGUCCAGACUCCAGCGACUGUCUUAUAUAAGUGCCGUGGGCUGGACCCUCCCAGCAGGACGGCGGGAGAAGUUAUGUGUGGCGGGAGAGCCUGAGGCCUCAUCUGAAAGUGCUUGCAACUCAAAUUUUGAAAGGUUCGACAAAACCAUUUACAUCAGUGCUGACUCAUUCCGCCAUCAUGUUGAGGGGAAAAAAGGUAAGAAAUGGGGCCUCUUUCAUAAUGUUUGCUUUUGCCAGGCAAUUCCUCCCUGCCCUGAUAGCGUUGAGCUCCUCUGUAAAUAUUGCACUGUGUGUCUUCAUUUGAACCGAUGCGACACUGCUCACGGUGCCACUGGGAACAUGAUUAGGAGAUUAGUUUCUUUUUUAGUUGCUCUCUGAAGAAACAGCACAAAAAAGCACAGUCAAGGUACUCGCAGUGCAAUGCAGACUGCAAUUUCCUCAUGCCUAAGGGACAUUUUUAUGAGACAGCUGGAUUUUUUUGUUGUCAUGUUGGACCGAGAGCAUCCCGAAAGCUUGAUUACAGAAUAUGAGCCAGUCAUGAAGCAGACAGACGGCCCCUUGUGGAAACACAUGGCGCUUUUGGCUGAUGGCACCCUGUUGCCGUAGUCUGGAUUCUGUAAUAGUAAUGGCUUCGUUUUCUCUGGCGACUCUCCCAGCGUUACUCUGGCAUGUAUCGCGUGGCAGAAUGCUUGGCUGUGUUCUGAAUUGCUCAUUACAUUCCCAGAGGCAAACAGGCCAACCCAAAGAUACAAACAAAGGCAGACGCAGCCGACAGCAGGGAGACCCCCCUCCCCCCCACACACAAUGCACGGUGACUGCUCGCAUGUCUCUCGUAGCUAGCAUGCAGUCUUAAGACCCACUUGCUGAUAGCAAGUCAUUAAUUCAGUGUGUUGAGAGUAGGGAUGUGCAGAACUGCCUAUUUUUUUAAAUCGACUACUUGGUCUUAAGGAAGCCUUGUACAAUUUGCCUGGUUUGGGGUUCAUUUGGUUCUAGAUUGGACAUAUUAUUAGGGAGGGAUUUAUAUGGUUGUUUGUGCAUUCAAAAUUCUCUAAUCUUAGCAUAGGAAUAAAAGUAGGGGCCUUGAAAAACAUUAUAAAUGUGAAUCUGAAUGGUUGUAGUAGCAGUGGUUUAAAUAGGAUGAUUUAAAUAUAUGUUCACAAGAGAGAGUCACUAUGCCUACAGUUAAUGCCGCAUGCUAAAUAAAAAAUUAUCAGUUGUAUUACUGAAACUGCUAAUUCACACUUUUUUCCAAGUUAUUCCUCAGUAGCAAGCUGCUGG
rnacentral:lncRNA from 1 species